rnacentral:rRNA from 1 species
AAGUCGUAACAAGGUUUCCGUAGGUGAACCUGCGGAAGGAUCAUUACCGAACUGUCGACACGAGCUGUUGCUGGCCCUCGAAAGGGGGCACGUGCACGCUGUGUUUACACAUCCACUCACACCUGUGCACCCUCUGUAGUUCUAUGGCCUCGGGGACCCCGUCCCCUUGCUGUGGUCCUACGUCUUUACACACACACACCGUAACGAAGUCUCAUGGAAUGUAUGUCGCGUUUAACGCAAUGCAAUACAACUUUCAGCAACGGAUCUCUUGGCUCUCGCAUCGAUGAAGAACGCAGCGAAAUGCGAUAAGUAAUGCGAAUUGCAGAAUUCCGUGAGUCAUCGAAUCUUUGAACGCACAUUGCGCCCUUUGGUAUUCCGAAGGGCAUGCCUGUUCGAGCGUCAUUAUCAACCCUCAAGCCCGGCUUGUCGUUGAAUCGCACCGGUGGCGACGCCGGUGGAUUCCAAAGAUAGUGGCAGAGUCCCCGGACCCUGGAUGCAGCGAGCUUUCUCCAGCACGCGUCCCGGCGGUCGGGUGGGCUCCGUCUCAACCUUGAAUAUUUUCAAUCUGGUUGACCUCGGAUCAGGUAGGGAUACCCGCUGAACUUAAGCAUAUCAAUAAGCGGAGGAAAAGAAACCAACCGGGAUUGCCUCAGUAACGGCGAGUGAAGCGGCAACAGCUCAAAUUUGAAAUCUGACCCCUCUAGGGGUCCGAGUUGUAAUUUGUAGAGGAUGCUUCGGGCAAGGCCGUGGUCUAAUUUGCGUGGAACCGCAAGUCACAGAGGGUGAGAAUCCCGUCUAGGAUCGCGGGCCGCGUCCAUGUGAAGCUCCUUCGACGAGUCGAGUUGUUUGGGAAUGCAGCUCUAAAUGGGUGGUAAAUUUCAUCUAAAGCUAAAUAUUGGCCAGAGACCGAUAGCGCACAAGUAGAGUGAUCGAAAGAUGAAAAGCACUUUGAAAAGAGAGUUAAACAGUAUGUGAAAUUGUUGAAAGGGAAGCGCUUGCAAUCAGACUUGCGGGUGACGGCUCCCCCCCCCCUUCAGGGGUGGCUACUCCGUCACUUCCAGGCCAGCAUCGGUUCGGGUGGUCGGUCAAAGACCCCGGGAAUGUAUCUACCCUCCGGGGUCGACUUAUAGCCCGGGGUGCAAUGCGGCCCACCCGGACCGAGGAACGCGCUUCGGCUCGGAUGCUGGCGUAAUGGUUGUAAGCGGCC